UACGGGGGGGGCAAGCGUUGUUCGGAAUUACUGGGCGUAAAGGGCUCGUAGGCUGCCAACUAAGUCGGACGUGAAAUCCCUCGGCUUAACCGGGGAACUGCGUCCGAUACUGGAUGGCUUGAGUUUGGGAGAGGGAUGCGGAAUUCCAGGUGUAGCGGUGAAAUGCGUAGAUAUCUGGAGGAACACCGGUGGCGAAGGCGGCAUCCUGGACCGGUAUUGACGCUGAGGCGCGAAAGCUAGGGGAGCAAACGGG
rnacentral:rRNA from 1 species